UGAUUACAAGCAGUUGGAGGAAUCAGUUGAAAAACUUAAGAAUGUAAUGGAACACAUAAAUGAAGACAAGAGGAAGACAGAGAAGCAGAUGCACAUGUUUGAACUUAUACGUGACAUUGAGGACAUCCCGGCGACGGUCCUUUCAUCUCAUCGUUGGUUUAUUUCAAGACAUGAUGUGUUGGAGUUAAAUAUUAGCAAUAAUGGAAAGACUAAUAAACCAUUGUCUAUAGCAUUGUUCCUCUUCUCUGACAGCAUUGAGGUGAGAUAGAGGAAGUGUCUCAUUUUUAUAUGCUAAUUUC